UGAGGAAUCUUCCACAAUGGACGAAAGUCUGAUGGAGCAACUCCGCGUGCAGGAUGAAGGCCUUAGGGUUGUAAACUGCUUUUAUGAGUGAAGAAUAUGACGGUAACUCAUGAAUAAGGGUCGGCUAACUACGUGCCAGCAGCCGCGGUCAUACGUAGGACCCAAGCGUUAUCCGGAGUGACUGGGCGUAAAGAGUUGCGUAGGUGGUUAUAUAAGUGAAUAGUGAAAUCUGGCGGCUCAACCGUACAGGCUAUUAUUCAAACUGUAUAACUCGAGAAUGGUAGAGGUAACUGGAAUUUCUUGUGUAGGAGUGAAAUCCGUAGAUAUAAGAAGGAACACCAAUGGCGUAGGCAGGUUACUGGACCAUUUCUGACACUGAGGCACGAAAGCGUGGGGAGCGAACCGG
rnacentral:rRNA from 1 species